rnacentral:rRNA from 1 species
AGUGAACGCUGGCGGUAGGCCUAACACAUGCAAGUCGAACGGCAGCACAGGAGAGCUUGCUCUCUGGGUGGCGAGUGGCGGACGGGUGAGGAAUACAUCGGAAUCUACUCUGUCGUGGGGGAUAACGUAGGGAAACUUACGCUAAUACCGCAUACGACCUACGGGUGAAAGCAGGGGACCUUCGGGCCUUGCGCGGUUGCAUGAGCCGAUGUCGGAUUAGCUAGUUGGUGGGGUAAAGGCCCACCAAGGCGACGAUCCGUAGCUGGUCUGAGAGGAUGAUCAGCCACACUGGAACUGAGACACGGUCCAGACUCCUACGGGAGGCAGCAGUGGGGAAUAUUGGACAAUGGGCGCAGGCCUGAUCCAGCCAUACCGCGUGGGUGAAGAAGGCCUUCGGGUUGUAAAGCCCUUUUGUUGGGAAAGAAAUCCAGCUGGCUAAUACCCGGUUGGGAUGACGGUACCCAAAGAAUAAGCACCGGCUAACUUCGUGCCAGCAGCCGCCGUAA